rnacentral:rRNA from 1 species
UACAGAGGGUGCAAGCGUUAAUCGGAAUUACUGGGCGUAAAGCGUGCGCAGGCGGUUCGUUGUGUCGGCGGUGAAAGCCCCGGGCUUAACCUGGGAAUGGCCGUUGAAACUGGCGAACUGGAGUGUGGCAGAGGGGGGUGGAAUUCCGCGUGUAGCAGUGAAAUGCGUAGAGAUGUGGAGGAACACCGAUGGCGAAGGCAGCCCCCUGGGGUAACACUGACGCUCAUGCACGAAAGCGUGGGGAGCAAACAGG